AACGUCUCAGUUCGGAUUGUAGUCUGCAACUCGACUACAUGAAGCUGGAAUCGCUAGUAAUCGCGAAUCAGAAUGUCGCGGUGAAUACGUUCCCGGGUCUUGUACACACCGCCCGUCACACCAUGGGAGUCAGUAACGCCCGAAGCCGGUGACCUAAACCGAAAGGGAGGAGCCGUCGAAGGUGGGACCGAUAACUGGGGUGAAGUCGUAACAAGGUAUC
rnacentral:rRNA from 1 species